AAAAAAAAAAACAAAUAAACAAAUAAACAAGCAAACUUGAUAAUAUAUUACAAAAUAACAAGUUUAAAUCUGUCUGAAGAAGAUAAGCCAGCCAGUUAGGGCCAACUUCCAUCUAACAAACAAACCAAUUUCAUGAGCCACUUUGUUGACUUCUCUAGGUGUAAAAAUACAAUUAAAACUAGCAUUACAAUCCAUAAGACAUUUUAUGACCUGUUUGUUUCAUGGGAUUAAUUAAGCUAAGAUGAUCUUGGGUCAUGGCCGGACAAGCUCUCUCUUCCAAAGAUCUGUCAUUGGAAAUGUGGAGUUGAUGCUCUUUCAAAGCUCUUCCACUGGAAACCUGGUGAAAUCACUUUCUCUACUGGUGCCGACAAAACUAAUGAAGAAGACAAAUUAGAGGAGCUCGCCUAGUGCAAUCGCAAAUCUCCACCUAUUUAUCUCUUAAAUUUGUCUUCUAACUAAAAAAAAAAAAGUUAGUUAAACAAGGAUAUGAAUUGUACUUUGCUUCUAAGUAUUUUAACUUGCUGUCAUGUUGUGUAAUUAUAAAGUAGCUGGAACUUUUAAGUAGCUGAAAAAAACAGUGGAGCUCUGCCAAGCCAAUAAAGUGGAGAACAGUUUUUUUUUUUUUUUUUAAAGUAUUUCAAGUCAGUUUUCGCUAAUUGUAAUAAGGAAACAUGUUUAUAGGUAAUCUCCUAAACAACAGAUUGAAUUUUACUUUAUUUUCUUAGGA